AGCAAAAAACACUGACCGGAUUAUGUCAUUAACCAAAGCGUCUGUUGCUAUGCUGGUUGGCUCUAUUUUUACUCGUAGCGGUCACGAAGGAAGGAGUAUGAGGGCAGUUCUAGUUCUAUUUCACUUCAUAAACACUCGCUCAGUCCUCGCAAAAUUAUUACCUCAGAAUUGCUCUCCAAGAAUGCUGUUUUUGACGGUGACAACCUGCUGACUACGUGCUGCUUCAGAGGACCGAAAAGAGAACACGCUUUCUUUACCAUAUAUUUGUCUUUAAAUAAGAAAAUAUUGAAUAGGAAGAAAUAAUUUAAGCUGUUGACGUUGCUAGCUGCUGUACUUACAGUGGGGAAAAAACGUAUUUAGUCAGCCACCAAUUGUGCAAGUUCUCCCACUUAAAAAGAUGAGAGGCCUGUAAUUUUCAUCAUAGGUACACUUCAGCUAUGACACAUAAAAUGAGAAGGAAAAAAAUCCAGAAAAUCACAUUGUAGGAUUUUUAAUGAAUUUAUUUGCAAAUUAUGGUGGAAAAUAAGUAUUUGGUCACCUACAAACAAGCAAGAUUUCUGGCUCUCACAGACCUGUAACUUCUUCUUUAAGAGGCUCCUCUGUCCUCCACUCGUUACCUGUAUUAAUGGCACCUGUUUGAACUUGUUAUCAGUAUAAAAGACACCUGUCCACAACCUCAAACAGUCACACUCCAAACUCCACUAUGGCCAAGACCAAAGAGCUGUCAAAGGACACCAGAAACAAAAUUGUAGACCUGCACCAGGCUGUGAAGACUCUGCAAUAGCAGCAUCCAGGCCUCCACCGAGUACGGACAGGAGCCGCAGCUGUUGACUGAGAUCACUGAAACCCCAGCUGAUGUGGUGGAAGUUGUCAAAUCAGAUUAGAAUGCCUUCGAGGACCACCUUCAGGCACGGACUAAGAAGGAUGUGGAGGUUUUUGACCAGUCAAGGUGGACUGAACAUCAACAAGGCGCAGGAGAAACAGAAGGAGAGCUACCGGACCAGAAUCAAGCACAGGAGCAAGUGCUACGACAUCCAAGCAAACUACUUGGUUUGGAAGAAGAACGAAAGGAAGGCGAGACCUGCGAAACCUCGCUGUUCUUUCACUCCUAGCUGGGGUCACCAUCUGUUAAAGUGAAUAUAAAAAAUCUCAGAAAAUAACUAUUUGCAUUUGCACACAAAAUAACCUGAAGCUAGUUUUAGUUUCCCUAACACUGAUAUUUUUCUGGCUCUAUCAUACUGGGCAUGUAAUAUGUGAGAUGCAAAGAUGAACUAAAAACACUAGCACUGCAAAAACUCAAAGUGAGCAGCAGUGCCCAGACUUUGCAGUCUCCCUCUUCAAUUUCCCCUUCCAAGACUGGCUGCCUGUUGAAGUGACCAGCAGGACCUCCCACCCACACAGCAACCACCUCCUCUAUAUUCCACACUCCAGAAUUCAGUAUUUUAGUCUAUGAUUGCCAUGUGAAUGUACAAAAAAUCAGAAAAUAAAUUACUGACACAACUGUACCAAAAAAUAUGAACAUUUAUGUAUUAAAAUAUUAAAUAUUGCCAGGUUGGUUAA